rnacentral:rRNA from 1 species
GAUCAUGGCUCAGAUUGAACGCUGGCGGCAGGCUUAACACAUGCAAGUCGAACGGUAACAUAAAGAAGCUUGCUUCUUUGAUGACGAGUGGCGGACGGGUGAGUAAUGCUUGGGAAUCUAGCUUAUGGAGGGGGAUAACUACGGGAAACUGUAGCUAAUACCGCGUAGUAUCGGAAGAUGAAAGUGUGGGACCUUCGGGCCACAUGCCAUAGGAUAGAGCCCGAAGUGGGAUUAGGUAGUUGG